UUCGUUAAAAGCUAUUAAAUUCUAUCCAUAAACAAUACAACUUCACUACUUCCAACUUCCAAUGUCAUCAAUGAUUUUUCUUCUACGAGUCCCAAUUCAUCUCAUCAUCAAUUUUCUAGAUAAUUAAAUUGAAUUUUUUGUUGAUUUAUGCUGAUUCCGGAUGAAUUCAAUAAUAUAAAUUGUACCAAUUUCUUCUCCAAUUUCACACAGAUUUUGAUUUGUUACAAAAGGGUAUAUUUAUAGAAUCAGGUUUUUCGAAUGGCUCCCAGAGGACCUGAUUCAUCUCAUCAUCAUCAUCAACCGGUGUUGUUGCUCCAUUGAUUAUAAUUGAUAAAGAGAUUAUUUCAUUUCAUUUUAUAUCGGGGUAGAUUUGCAAUGAAAAGAUUUUAGGGUUUUAGAUUUACAAAGUAAUCCCCUUUUUAAUUCUCUAUGAUUACUUUGUAUUUUAGAUUUUUGAAUUUUAGGGUUUUGUAUAAAAUUUGUCAAUUCUGUUAGAAUUUUUUAUUUUUUAUUUGCUACAACUUCUGCUGAUCUUUGUAACUUAAUUCUUCAUUGUGGUUGAUGAUAUUUUGAAUCAUGUAUUGUGUUACCUAAUUUUUUCCAUAUAUUUUUAAUUACUUCUUAUGUUUAUGUUUCUUUAUACAUGACAGAGGUUUCAUUUUUUUCCUUAUACUCUGUUUUUUCUACUACCACAGAGACAAAACUUGAUCUGAGAUUUUUAUAUAUUUUCAAGGUGUGGAGACGUUGAAAGCAGAAAUCUAGUGAGGAGAAAAAGGAUGAGAAAAAAACCAGUGAUAUAGAGUCGCUUACUACUUCUGUGUUGAAAAUGUUGUUGCACUGCCAAGGACGCAUUUAAAAAAUUGGCAAGAAUGUGUUGAAAAUCUAAGUAGUUGAAUUGACUAUUGAUAAAAAGAAAUGAAGAAGGAUACUAAAAGGUAUAAUAGAUGUGAAAAAGUUGGUUGAGAAUUUGACAGAGAAGUUUACCGAAAUCUGUUACAUAUUCAUAUGCAUACUCAACCCCCACAAAUUUUCCAGUGAUGAGAAUCAUAAUAUUUGCAAUGUCAUGUGAUGUGAGUUACAGUAUUAUCAUAAUGUCUGAACUUAAUUUUAUUCAAUUCAGUCUGAUGUCUGAACUUAAUUUUAAUUCAAUAUGAUGGUGAUUCCAUGAGGCAGGGGAACAAAAUGAGUGGUUAGUGAGUAACUAGAGUAUUUUCUAUUAUUUUUUAUUUUAAAAAUGUAUUAUGCUAUGUAAAGUUAAAUUUUUUGUUGAAUAUAUUUAAAGAAUACUGUUCACAUGUUUUA